rnacentral:rRNA from 1 species
GGGGGGNNNNAGCGUUGUUCGGAAUUACUGGGCGUAAAGGGGACGUAGGCGGCCAACUAAGUCCGACGUGAAAUCCCAAGGCUUAACCUUGGAACUGCGUCGGAUACUGGAUGGCUUGAAUUCGGGAGAGGGAUGCAGAAUUCCAGGUGUAGCGGUGAAAUGCGUAGAUAUCUGGAGGAAUACCGGUGGCGAAGGCGGCAUCCUGGACCGACAUUGACGCUGAAAGCCGAAAGCUAGGGGAGCAAACGGGAUUAGAUACCCCGGUAGUCCUAGCCCUAAACGAUGAAUGUUUGGUGUGGCGGGUAUCGAUCCCUGCCGUGCCGAAGCUAACGCAUUAAACAUUCCGCCUGGGGAGUACGGUCGCAAGGCUG